GGUUUAUUUUGAGUAAACCCAGGUUCCUGGUUGGUUUGGCCGUAACGUACAGCAAAUAAAGAGAGUCCAGAUGAAUACUGAUGCAACACGCUAUCCGUCAGCCUGCUGCCGCCUUGAUCACCAGCCAGACAGAUUGACAGUGAGUUCUGUUCUGCCUCUGGCAACGCUGCUUCGGUUCAGCUCUGGAUCCUCUUCGGUUCUCUUGAGCUGAGAGGUGGACUCACAACAAAGUACUCACAAUAAUGACCAGUGUGCAUGGAUGUGUUGGUUGUGCCCACAAAGUCAUUCAUGCUCUCAAUCUUUGGCAGCAACAUGCCCCCAUACAGGGAUCUGAUUGGAACGGUGAUUUGUAUAACCUAAAAGGAAAGCGAGCAUGAUCAUGAGUACUUGAGUGAGGCCCAAGGCCCAGACAACUUGGCCAGCGCCGCUGUGAAGCUGAAAUGUGUUUGGCCGGAGCCUCUGUGCUUGGGGCGACUCCUGGAGCAUGCAGCCUAAAAGAAGAAGAAGAAGAAAGCUUUACC
ensembl:lncRNA